rnacentral:rRNA from 1 species
CGUCAGCUCGAGUGGUGANAUGUUGGGUUAAAUCCCGCAACGAGCGCAACCCUUAUCCUUGUUUUCCAGCAAUUUGGGUGGGAACUUCAGGGAGACUGCCGGUGAUUAACCGGAGGAAGGUGGGGAAGACGUCAAGUUCACAUGGCCCUUUAGAGUAGGGCUUCCCCCGUGGCACAAUGGCAAAAACCGAGGGCAACCAGANUGCGAGGUGGAGCGAAUUCCAGAAAGUAUGUUGUUAUUCGGAANNGAAUUNGCCAAUUGACUUCGUGAAGUUGGAAUCGCUAGUAAUCGUGNACAGAAUGCCNCGGUGAAUACGUUCCCGGNCCUUG